rnacentral:rRNA from 2 species
AGCAGCCGCGGUAAUUCCAGCUCCAAUAGCGUAUAUUAAAGUUGUUGCAGUUAAAAAGCUCGUAGUUGAAUUUCGGGGUUAGCAGGUCGGUCGUGCCAUUGGUAUGAACUGGUCUCGCUGAUCCCUCCCUCUUGACGAACUGUGAUGCCAUUAAUUUGGUGUCGCAGGGAAUCAGGACUGUUACUUUGAAAAAAUUAGAGUGUUUAAAGCAGGCUCACGCUUGAAUACAUUAGCAUGGAAUAAUGAAAUAGGACGUUUGAUCCUAUUUUGUUGGCUUCUAGGAUUGACGUAAUGAUUAAUAGGGAUAGUUGGGGGCAUUAGUAUUCAAUUGUCAGAGGUGAAAUUCUUGGAUUUAUUGAAGACUAACUACUGCGAAAGCAUUUGCCAAGGAUGUUUUCAUUAAUCAAGAACGAAAGUUAGGGGAUCGAAGACGAUCAGAUACCGUCGUAGUCUUAACCAUAAACUAUGCCGACUAGGGAUCGGAUGAUGUUAAUUUUUUAAUGACUCAUUCGGCGCCUUACG